GGAAGCGCGACACGCACACGCCGUCGCGACGCCACGAUGCCAUCUAGGGCCCGCCGCUCCUUGUAUGGGCACAAGAGAAAGUUUGCAAGUUCCCUGAAGGACAGAUACGGAAGAUUAUAAAACCAGCUUCUAGUUUGUCUCCAUGUGGAAGUUCAGCCUUCUGGCCUCUCCCGCACCUCUUCAGUAUCUAUCCUCCUACCGAGCACCCAUCUGAUGGAUCUCUCCCCACUGCAACCCACCCUCCUCUCCAGGACCACUUUUUCUUGCCUGUAAUUCUGGCCUUAGGAAUGCCCAGAGGAGAUCUGUACCCAAAAAGUAUGUUUGAGCAAAGCUAAGUCUCCAGAAUAAAGAUAAUCCCAAUUUACAAGUCAGCCA
rnacentral:lncRNA from 1 species